UGCAGCGGUUCAGAGAAUGUGAGUUGAUCCACGGAAGGUGGGCUAUGUUGGCUACUCUUGGCGCCUUGGCUGUCGAGUGGCUCACCGGAGUUACCUGGCAGGAUGCCGGAAAGGUACCUUUACCUGCAUAUGUAUACAAUACAAAUGCAUUAGUCGUGUCGUAUUUCUUAGUUGUCUGCGCCUGGCUAGAACCUAUACUGCGAGUAGGAAAUAAGCCGUUGACACAUAAUUUUUCAGUGCGGAUUCCAAUCGAUGUUGGCUUUAGUAACGUACGAAACGUAUGCAGUGAAGUGAAGUAAUUUUCAGCGCAUCUAUUCUAUUGAGCUAAAAAGAUUCUACAUUAAUUUGAACAGGUUGAGCUUGUGGAAGGAUCAUCAUACCUGGGUCAACCACUUCCAUUCUCCAUGAGCACAUUGAUCUGGAUUGAGGUGCUGCUCAUUGGAUACAUUGAGUUCCAAAGGAAUGCCGAGCUUGACCCCGAAAAGAGGCUGUACCCUGGCGGAA
rnacentral:lncRNA from 1 species